rnacentral:tRNA from 1 species
CCCCCCCCCGGGGGGGGUUUUUUUCCCCCCCCCCCCCGGGGGGGGGGGGGGCCCCCCCCCCCGGGGGGUUUUUUUCCCCGGGGGGGGG